rnacentral:rRNA from 1 species
CUAACACAUGCAAGUCGAACGGCAGCACAGUAAGAGCUUGCUCUUAUGGGUGGCGAGUGGCGGACGGGUGAGGAAUACAUCGGAAUCUACUCUUUCGUGGGGGAUAACGUAGGGAAACUUACGCUAAUACCGCAUACGACCUACGGGUGAAAGCGGAGGACCUUCGGGCUUCGCGCGAUUGAAUGAGCCGAUGUCGGAUUAGCUAGUUGGCGGGGUAAAGGCCCACCAAGGCGACGAUCCGUAGCUGGUCUGAGAGGAUGAUCAGCCACACUGGAACUGAGANACGGUCCAGACUCCUACGGGAGGCAGCAGUGGGGAAUAUUGGACAAUGGGCGCAAGCCUGAUCCAGNCAUGCCGCGUGGGUGAAGAAGGCCUUCGGGUUGUAAAGCCCUUUUGUUGGGAAAGAAAAGCAGUCGGUUAAUACCCGAUUGUUCUGACGGUACCCAAAGAAUAAGCACCGGCUAACUUCGUGCCAGCAGCCGCGGUAAUACGAAGGGUGCAAGCGUUACUCGGAAUUACUGGGCGUAAAGCGUGCGUAGGUGGUGGUUUAAGUCUGUUGUGAAAGCCCUGGGCUCAACCUGGGAAUUGCAGUGGAUACUGGGUCACUAGAGUGUGGUAGAGGGUAGCGGAAUUCCCGGUGUAGCAGUGAAAUGCGUAGAGAUCGGGAGGAACAUCCGUGGCGAAGGCGGCUACCUGGACCAACACUGACACUGAGGCACGAAAGCGUGGGGAGCAAACAGGAUUAGAUACCCUGGUAGUCCACGCCCUAAACGAUGCGAACUGGAUGUUGGGUGCAAUUUGGCACGCAGUAUCGAAGCUAACGCGUUAAGUUCGCCGCCUGGGGAGUACGGUCGCAAGACUGAAACUCAAAGGAAUUGACGGGGGCCCGCACAAGCGGUGGAGUAUGUGGUUUAAUUCGAUGCAACGCGAAGAACNUUACCUGGUCUUGACAUCCANNGAACUUUCCAGAGAUGGAUUGGUGCCUUCGGGAACCGUGAGACAGGUGCUCAUGGCA